rnacentral:rRNA from 1 species
UGGGGGAUAUUGCACAAUGGGCGAAAGCCUGAUGCAGCGACGCCGCGUGGGGGAUGAAGGCCUUCGGGUUGUAAACUUCUUUUGCUCUGAACAAGGCAUGCUUUUGGGGUGUGUUGUGUGUAGGGGUUGAUUAGCGCCGGCUAACUACGUGCCAGCAGCCGCGGUAAUACGUAGGGCGCGAGCGUUGUCCGGAAUUAUUGGGCGUAAAGGGCUUGUAGGUGGCUGGUUGCGUCUGUCGUGAAAGCUCAUGGCUUAACUGUGGGUUUGCGGUGGGUACGGGCUGGCUUGAGUGCAGUAGGGGAGGCUGGAAUUCCUGGUGUAGCGGUGGAAUGCGCAGAUAUCAGGAGGAAUACCGGUGGCGAAGGCGGGUCUCUGGGCUGUUACUGACGCUGAGGAGCGAAAGCGUGGGGAGCGAACAGG